GGCCACGCAAGUCUAUCGGGAAAUCCGCGCGCUUAACGCGCGGGCGUCCGGUGGAAACUGCGUGGCUUGGGACCGGAAGACCAGAGGGGUACGUCCGGGGUAGGAGUGAAAUCCCGUAAUCCUGGACGGACCACCGGUGGCGAAAGCGCCUCUGGAAGACGGAUCCGACGGUGAGGGACGAAAGCUCGGGUCACGAACCGGAUUAGAUACCCGGGUAGUCCGAGCUGUAAACGAUGUCUGCUAGGUGUGGCACAGGCUACGAGCCUGUGCUGUGCCGUAGGGAAGCCGUGAAGCAGACCGCCUGGGAAGUACGUCCGCAAGGAUGAAACUUAAAGGAAUUGGCGGGGGAGCACUACAACCGGAGGAGCCUGCGGUUUAAUUGGACUCAACGCCGGACAUCUCACCAGCAUCGACAAUGUGCAGUGAAAGUCAGGUUGAUGACCUUACUGGAGCCAUUGAGAGGAGGUGCAUGGCCGCCGUCAGCUCGUACCGUGAGGCGUCCUGUUAAGUCAGGCAACGAGCGAGACCCGCACUCCUAAUUGCCAGCAACACCCUCGUGGUGGUUGGGUACAUUAGGAGGACUGCCAGUGCCAAACUGGAGGAAGGAACGGGCAACGGUAGGUCAGUAUGCCCCGAAUGUGCUGGGCGAC
rnacentral:rRNA from 1 species